AUGUUUGAAUAAAUAUUUAUAAUAUAAAAAGGUUCUACUUGCGAAGAUGCUCAUCGCCUUCUGGAUCUUGGAGCUAAACCACAUAACUGCUUAAUGAGUAUGAUGGGGAUAGCCUCAAAUGAUGAUGUGUGGCUGAAGUUAGGAAAACGAUUAUUGGAAUCUGGUGCUGAUCCAAAUGAGACAUCGACUAAAGGAAUAUCUCUUAUUUCAACUGCCAUCAAAAGAAAUUUGGUUGACUUAUUAGAACUUCUCGUUAGAUAUGGUGCCAACGUUAAUUUGAUGGACGCUCGUCGUCAGACUCCCUUGGCUUAUGCUCGUGAAAUGCGUAUUUUCGACAGAGAAUUCAAAAUUGUUAGGACACUCCUAAAAUAUCCAGUGAAAUGGAACAAAAGAAACUUUAUCGAUCAUCUUUGGAUUGUAUCGGUGAAUGCUAUUAGAUACUCUAAGAAUACACCGUGUGGCUACAAGAAUCAAAAGCUCACAUUUAACUUGAAUAGUGUUUUCACUUUUUCAUCGCCGGGGCAGAUCUGAAGAAUAAACAGUCUGGAGCUCGUUUGAAAUUAUUGGCAGGUUUUGGAUUAAUUGAGUCCAUGAAAUAUUUUAUGCGCUGUGGCUGGAACAUCGACACAGACAGAGAAUGGUUUCAAAGUUUAGAAAACGUCAAUCAGUUAGCUCAUGGUUUUGGUAUCGAUGAUACCGACUAUAAACCCCAGAUUACGCCUGAAAAAUUCAAAUCUUUUAAAGCUGUAUUUAACGAAAUUUUGAGAGAACCAAAAUCUCUACUAAACCUUUGCAGACAUAAAAUUCGUAAGGAGCUUUCAUUUCGUGGUCAUAGUAUUCUGCCAUUAGUUGAUGAUCUACCACUUCCAACAAAAUUAAAAUCUUUCAUGAAAUUUGAAGAUCUUGAAGGUCCGGACGAAGAGGAAGUGAUCGUAAACCUGAAAGGCUCGAUGUCUGAUGAUGAUGGGGAGGAGGAUCCUUAACACAGAUUUAGCAGACAAUGAAACAUGCAACAAGUCCUAGGCUAAACAACAUUCAUCGUUUAGUUAGACAAACUAAAAUAUUUAUACAAAUCCGUUUGUAAACAAUUCUAACAAACUAUUUCAAUGCUAUUUUCACUUGCUGUGUCUCCAUUUUGAUUUUCUUUUCCAUAUGAGUGAAAAAAUCGC